ACUUAGCUACUUUUUCUGGUGAAGAUGCAUAUAUAUUGAGUGAAGCCAAGGAGGAAGCUGUGCGCACAAUUGUGGAAUUUGUGAAGGCCCCUGACUUGUUUCAGUGUGAUUUGCUAGAUAUGCCUGCUGUAGGGCAAUUGGAGAAGGAUGCUAAGCAUGCGUUGGCAUAUCAGCUUUUAAAGAUCUUUCUGACUCAGAGGCUGGAUGCUUACUUGGAGUUUCAGGCUGCAAAUUCUACUUUACUGAAAGGCUACGGACUUGUCCAUGAAGACUGCAUAACAAAGAUGAGGUUGAUUUCUUUGGUGGAUCUUGGCUCUGAUGAAUCUGGACGAAUUCCUUACA